UACGUAGGGGGCAAGCGUUGUCCGGAAUUAUUGGGCGUAAAGAGCUCGUAGGCGGUGUGUCGCGUCGGCCGUGAAAACCUGCAGCUUAACUGUGGGCGUGCGGUCGAUACGGGCAUCACUGGAGUUCGGCAGGGGAGACUGGAAUUCCUGGUGUAGCGGUGGAAUGCGCAGAUAUCAGGAGGAACACCGGUGGCGAAGGCGGGUCUCUGGACGGAGCCGCAAGGCUUAAAACUGACGCUGAGAUACGAAAGCGUGGGUAGCGAACAGG
rnacentral:rRNA from 1 species